GGUUGGCUCAGUGGUGGAGUGCUUGCCUCAUAUGCAUGAGGCCCUGGGUUCGAUUCCUCAGCACCA
rnacentral:tRNA from 1 species